CAUAUGCUUGUCUCAAAGAUUAAGCCAUGCAUGUCUCAGUACAAGCCCAUUAAGGUGAAACCGCGAAAGGCUCAUUAAAUCAGUUAUGGUUCCUUAGAUCGUACCCACAUUUACUUGGAUAACUGUGGUAAUUCUAGAGCUAAUACAUGCAAACAGAGUUCCGACCGGAGACGGGAGGAAUGCUUUUAUUAGAUCAAAACCAAUCGGCGGCGGGCCUCGGUCCGUUCGCCGCUCAAUUUGGUGACUCUGAAUAACUUUCGGCUGAUCGCACGGUCUCGCACCGGCGACGCAUCUUUCAAAUGUCUGCCUUAUCAACUGUCGAUGGUAGGUUCUGCGCCUACCAUGGUCGUAACGGGUAACGGGGAAUCAGGGUUCGAUUCCGGAGAGGGAGCCUGAGAAACGGCUACCACAUCCAAGGAAGGCAGCAGGCGCGCAAAUUACCCACUCCCGGCACGGGGAGGUAGUGACGAAAAAUAACGAUACGGGACUCAUCCGAGGCCCCGUAAUCGGAAUGAGUACACUUUAAAUCCUUUAACGAGGACCAAUUGGAGGGCAAGUCUGGUGCCAGCAGCCGCGGUAAUUCCAGCUCCAAU
rnacentral:rRNA from 1 species